GAUGAACGCUGGCGGCGUGCCUAAUACAUGCAAGUCGAGCGAACGGACGAGAAGCUUGCUUCUCUGAUGUUAGCGGCGGACGGGUGAGUAACACGUGGAUAACCUACCUAUAAGACUGGGAUAACUUCGGGAAACCGGAGCUAGUACCGGAUGAUAUUUUGAACCGCAUGGUUCAAAAGUGAAAGACGGUCUUGCUGUCACUUAUAGAUGGAUCCGCGCUGCAUUAGCUAGUUGGUAAGGUAACGGCUUACCAAGGCAACGAUGCAUAGCCGACCUGGGAGGGGGAUCGGCCACACGGGGAAGGAGACCCAGGCCAGGCCCCUACGGGGGGCAGGAGUAGGGAGUGUUCCGGAAGGGGGGAAGGCCUGACGGGGGACGGCCGCGUGAGUGAGGAAGGUCUUGGGAUGGAAAAACGCUUUUAUUGGGGAAGAACAUUUGGGUAAGGAACUGGGCACAUUGGGGCGGAACCGUAUAAAAAAGCCCGGGAAAUCUGUG
rnacentral:rRNA from 1 species